GACGAACGCUGGCGGCGUGCCUAAUACAUGCAAGUAGAACGCUGAAGGAGGAGCUUGCUCUUCUGGAUGAGUUGCGAACGGGUGAGUAACGCGUAGGUAACCUGCCUGGUAGCGGGGGAUAACUAUUGGAAACGAUAGCUAAUACCGCAUAAGAGUAGAUGUUGCAUGACAUUUACUUAAAAGGUGCAAUUGCAUCACUACCAGAUGGACCUGCGUUGUAUUAGCUAGUUGGUGGGGUAACGGCUUACCAAGGCGACGAUACAUAGCCGACCUGAGAGGGAGAUCAGCCACAAUUGGACUGAGACACGGCCCAGACUCCCACGGGAAGCAGCAGUACGGAAUCUUUGACAAUGGACGGAAGUCUGACCGAGUAACGCCGCGGGAAGGAAGAAGGUUUUACGAUCAUAAAGCUCUGUUUUAAGAGAAAAACCAAUGUGGGAGUGGCAAAUUCACACUGUGACGGUACCUUACCAGAAAGGGACGGCUAACUACGUG
rnacentral:rRNA from 1 species